AACCCCCAUUCUUUUUCUCCUUUUCCAAACCCUAAAACUUCCCCCCUGAAGCUGCUGAUUCUCCUUCCCCUAGCAGCCAACAGAUUUAGGCUGGGGAGAACGCUUUUCAGCCCUCCGAUUUCCUCUUGACUUCGAUUUCGACUAAGUAAGAGGAGAUCCAUGGCGUAUUCUCCAGGUAAACUCCCAUUUUCCUUCUUUAAUCAAACUUUCGAAUAAAGAAAAAGAUCAACAAAACAAAAAGAAAAAGGAUCCAGUCAAAAGGGAACGCCUAGAGAUUUGAGUCAGGAAAUCACCUUUAGAAAAAUGGUUGCUUUGUAGUGCUUGAAUUUUUGUAUUUUUUUUGUUGCGUAUUUGCGCGUAAAAAAAAUUACAAUGAGCAGAGGCUUUGGCUUUAUAGCCGAAACAGAUAUAAGAAAUACUCAAAAAUAAAAAUCGAAUACAAAUCCCCAUUUUGCUGUUGUCUUUUUUGUAUGUAUUUGCUGCUGUGGUUUGUUCUCUUUCGCAGGUACGGGUGCUGUGCUGGCGUACGGAGGCUUGGCGUGGUUGUUGUAGGCGUUGUACGGAGCGUACGGUGCUGGGGGAGGGCUUCUGCGGCGCGAGUGUAAGAAAGAAACCCUAGGGUUUCUGUUCUAAAAUUCCUGGGCCAUUUGGGCCAAUGUAAUUUUGGGUCUUGGGUUAAAUUGGGGAUUGGGUAUUGGUUUAUUGUUUUAAUUUGGGUCAAAGCCUGAAAUAGACUGUUAUAAGAUUUAAGUUUUGGUCUUGUAACUAGUUUGGGCUUUGAUUGGUUAUUAGCCCGUGGACUAUUGUAAUUAUUUGGACUUUGGACUGUUAAUAUUUAUAUUUAAUUAUUAUUUAUUUAUUUUUGGGUUUCAAGGGGGCCGGGCAAAUUGGCCUAUUUACAUUACUUAUAUAUUAUUUCACAAUUAUCACGAUUAAUGACAUUCAUAUACCAUAAUAUACUAUGACAUGUAUGAAAUUUACCUACCAAAAUAGUGAAUUUAGCCAUAUGAACUUACCUAGGCUAAUUUGCAAAAAGUCGUAGAAAUUUAGGGACUAUUCUUGCAAUUUCUCCUUUCCACGAUUCACUUUAUUUUCUUAAUCUAUAAUUAUAAAAUCAUUUCUUUAUUAGCAUCUAUUUCAAUUCUAUUCUACUUCACAAUUUAUGCCUUUUAAUUUUUAAAUUACACUAUUACCCUAAACUUUUCAAUUUUUACAAUUUAGUCUCUACUCAAUUUAUUCAUAAAUUAAGUUAGUUAUUCUCAAAUAACAUUUUAACAAGAUAUUAUAAACUACUUCAAAGAAUUUAACAUUCAAAAUUUCAACACAAAACCCUAAUUCCAACAACUUUCACAAUUAGAUCCUAAAAAUCAAUUCUUAUAAAAUCUCUUCAUAAAAUCAUCAUAUAAUAAACUUAGAACCCCAAUUACAUACUAAAUCAUCAUAAAAUUUC
rnacentral:lncRNA from 1 species